rnacentral:rRNA from 1 species
AUGCACUGGCUUCGCUGAUUCCUCCUUUCUGAAGAACUGUAAUGCCAUUAAUUUGGUGUUGCAGGGAAACAGGACUGUUACUUUGAAAAAAUUAGAGUGUUUAAAGCAGGCUAAGGCUUGAAUACAUUAGCAUGGAAUAAUGAAAUAGGACGUUCGAUCCUAUUUUAUUGGUUUCUAGGAUUGACGUAAUGAUUAAUAGGGAUAGUUGGGGGCAUUAGUAUUCAAUUGUCAGAGGUGAAAUUCUUGGAUUUAUUGAACACUAACUACUGCGAAAGCAUUUGCCAAGGAUGUUUUCAUUAAUCAAGAACGAAAGUUAGGGGAUCGAAGACGAUCAGAUACCGUCGUAGUCUUAACCAUAAACUAUGCCGACUAAGGAUCGGAUGAUGUUAAUUUUUUAAUGACUCAUUCGGCGCCUUACG